AAAUUAAUCUUAUAGUCAUAGUCCUUCUAUAUUGUGAAAUAUAGAGUUGCAUCGGGUGAAUUGCAAGGAAAUCUUCAUAUAAUAAUAAAUCUUCCCUUUUAGGAGCUUAUAUUAUUUAAGACAAUUUGCAGCUAAGCUUAAGUCAGUGUAUAUCUAAAUAGAAAUUAGAUAGUGAUUUAAGAAAGUUCAACGACUAAUCGGUGAGUUGCACUAACAAUAAACCGAACACGAGCGCCCGACAUCUAGGAAUCAAACACUAGAUGAUGACAUAGUCUAAACUUGGUAGAAAUAUCAAG
rnacentral:ncRNA from 1 species